rnacentral:rRNA from 1 species
GUAACAAGGUCUCCGUUGGUGAACCAGCGGAGGGAUCAUUACCGAGUUUACAACUCCCAAACCCCUGUGAACAUACCAAUUGUUGCCUCGGCGGAUCAGCCCGCUCCCGGUAAAACGGGACGGCCCGCCAGAGGACCCCUAAACUCUGUUUCUAUAUGUAACUUCUGAGUAAAACCAUAAAUAAAUCAAAACUUUCAACAACGGAUCUCUUGGUUCUGGCAUCGAUGAAGAACGCAGCAAAAUGCGAUAAGUAAUGUGAAUUGCAGAAUUCAGUGAAUCAUCGAAUCUUUGAACGCACAUUGCGCCCGCCAGUAUUCUGGCGGGCAUGCCUGUUCGAGCGUCAUUUCAACCCUCAAGCCCAGCUUGGUGUUGGGACUCGCGAGUUAAAUCGCGUUCCCCAAAUUGAUUGGCGGUCACGUCGAGCUUCCAUAGCGUAGUAGUAAAACCCUCGUUACUGGUAAUCGUCGCGGCCACGCCGUUAAACCCCAACUUCUGAAUGUUGACCUCGGAUCAGGUAGGAAUACCCGCUGAACUUAAGCAUAUCA